rnacentral:lncRNA from 1 species
CUUAAACAUGGAUUUAAUUCUGUAGGUUGAGGAACUUAUGUAUAUAUAUACACAUUAACCAAAACUGGAAUUUAUGGUACAUUGUUCAAAACUAUGGCUUUUCUAAAACUAGUAAAAGACUCAAAAUUACAGCUGAAAAAUUGUAUAUAGCUACUGAUAAAGCCAGCCCACCAUUUGAACAGCCCAUGGAUUAGGCUGCAAGGCUUCUUCAUCCUUCAGUUCGUGUGGGUUUUGUGCCUUCAAAUCCCUUGCAAAAAUGUUAAUAAACUCAGUAUAAUUUGAGUCAUCACAGUCCAUGUCAUGCAGUGAGUAUGCACCAGUACUUGUCUGCUGGAAUUUCGGCAGGUUUUGUUGCGAAAUCUGAGCCGGUAAUCCAAGUACAACUUCUACUUCUUGAUUAGUAAAUGCAGGCUCCAAGAUUGAGACCGAUGAAUCUGAUCCUCCCACUCGAGGCGGCCUGGAGAAAGUGUGCUUCAAGUCCUCUAGAUUGCUAUUUUUUCCAUGUUUCUGAUAUUUUUGCUUGAUUCGGCAGAGGACGUAGUCCUUGAACUGCACUCAGUAAACAAGAGAGAUUGAUUAGUACGAUGGUCUAAGUUAGGCUGGCACUAAACAAGAAAAU